CUCGCUGUGUUGUGCAGGGUGAUGUCAAACUCCUGGGCUCCAGCAAUCCUCCCGCCUUAGCCUCCCAAAGUGCUGGGAUUAUAGGCAUGAGCCUCUGCGCCUGGCCUACCAACGCUUUCUUUCAGGCAGGGCCAGCAGGGGGUGCCCACUCCCGUUAAUGGGGCUUCCCAGCCCUGCCUCUCCCUCUGGGCAGAGACUGCCUUUGAAAUGCCCCCAGCCGUCCUCACCAGGGUGCCUGGGUGCUCUGCAGGCCCCAGCCUCCCUACUUGCCUGCUCAGGGCACCUCCACCCCGACCUCAUGGCCACAGGGCCCCUCCCUGGUCCUGUUCUUGCUCCAGGGCCACGGCCCACGCUGUGGUUCAGGCAUGUGCAGAGCCGGGCGGAGUGGGGCGGGGGGGCGACUGGCAGGCCCAGGCCCUGCAGGGGAAAUGCCCAGGUUUGGCCACAGCUGGGCCCUGUCCCUUAUGACUGCUGCAGGUCAUGCUCUCUGCCUGAGAUGAAACAUUCUGUGACAGGGUGGAAUGCUGGGGAAGGCUGCGUGGGGCCUCUGAACCCCCAGCAUGGAGCACUCGGAAGGGGGCUGAAGGGGUGCAGGGCCUCAGGAAUGAGAAGAUGAGGUGGAAGGUGGACCUGGGGGCCCCUCCUACCCCACCUGGCUGGAACCCAAGAGACCGUAGCUGCCAGGAUGAGGCUGCCAUGUGGCUUGUGGCUGUGGCUUUCCUUGCUGAAAGUCCUGCAGGGCCAGACCCCAACCCCCCCGCCGCUCCCGCCCCCAAUGCAGAGCUUCCAAGGAAACCAGGUACAGGGGUUUUGAGGGAAGGAGAAGCAGCCGGCUGGGUCUGAGUGCAGGGAGAGACUGGUGGCUGAGCAGGCCUGGGGAUGCUGCCCAGAGAGUCAGGACCAGCCCUGCUUCCAGGAGGGCCUGGGCGGGCCCCCGACCUCCAGCAGAGGAGGGCCCAGCGCAGACCUUCCUGGCACCAAUUCCCUACCGUCACCCCCGCCCAUCGCUCCCUCUGUGCCUGAGGGGAAACUGAGGCUUAGGAAGGCCGCCCAGCCACUGGCCAGGGUCACCAUGUCCCUGCCAGACCCAGGGUAGGCUCCGGUUCUUGCCAGUGUCCCUGGCGCCGGCCCAGCCGGGAGCAUUGCUUUGUGAGGGGUCCAGAAGCUGCCAGAGAGGGCAGGAGGGGGCUCCUGACCCUGCCCACCACCACCCCUGCCUCCCACCGCCCCUGCCCAACGCCGCCCCUGCAGUUCCAGGGGGAAUGGUUUGUCCUGGGCCUGGCGGGCAACAGCUUCAGGCCGGAGCACAGGGCGCUGCUGAACCCUUUCACCGCAACUUUUGAGCUGAGUGACAAUGGCCGCUUUGAGGUGUGGUAUGCCAUGACUCGGUAAGUGGCUCCCUGAUGUUCCAAGCAGGUGAGGAGGAUCCUGGGCCUGGGUCUCCGUCGCCAGUGGCUCAGGUGCGCCAUGGGCCCUGUCCCAGCAUGAGCAGCUUCAUGACUCUGGCUGCUAAUGACCAAACCCAGCUGGGAAGUAUACAAAAAAGCAUGGGCACUGGGUGCGCUGGCUCACACCUAUAAUCCCAGCACUUCGGGAGGCAGAGGCAGAAGGAUCACUUAACUCAGGAGUUUGAGACCAGCCUGAGCAACAUAGUUGGAUCUCCUCUCAUGAGACUUGGCCACUCCCGCCAUGGGUCCCUCUGAAUGAGCGGCUGAAAUCUCCUGGGGGGCCCACCUUGGCAUGGAACUGCCAGCUUCCGGAAUCUUCCGCCUCCACCCGUCCCCUCCCACAGAGGCCAACACUGUGACACGUGGUCUUAUGUGCUGAUACCGGCAGCCCAGCCCGGGCAGUUCACGGUGGACCACGGUGCGGAGCCUGGGGCAGACAGAGAGGAGACCUGGGUGGUGAACAGUGACUACACCCAAUUCGCCCUGAUGCUGUCCCGGAGACACACGAGCAACCUGGCCGUCCUCAGGAUCAGCCUGCUGGGCAGGAGCUGGUUGCUACCUCCCGGGACACUGGACCAGUUUAUCUGCCUGAGCAGAGCUCAGGGCCUCUCGGAUGACAACAUUGUCUUCCCAGAUGUGACCGGCUGGUCACCCCAGGCCAGCGUCUGUUGAAGGAUGAAGUAGCUCCUGCCCGGCCCGGACCUGCCUCACAGCUGCGCGAGCUCUGCCCUCCUCCACUCUCAAACCUGAAUAAAUGCACCAUGACCAGUCCCGG